rnacentral:misc_RNA from 1 species
AGCAGCCGCGGUAAUUCCAGCUCCAAUAGCGUAUAUUAAAGUUGUUGCAGUUAAAAAGCUCGUAGUUGAAUUUCGGGAUCAAUAUGUUGGUCGUGCCUUGGUACGUACUGGCAUUAUUGGUUUCUACCUUCUGAAGAACCUCGAUGUCAUUAAUUUGGUGUCUUGGGGAAUCAGGACUGUUACUUUGAAAAAAUUAGAGUGUUUAAAGCAGGCUCGCGCUUGAAUACAUUAGCAUGGAAUAAUGAAAUAGGACGUUUGAUUCUAUUUUGUUGGUUUCUAGGAUCGACGUAAUGAUUAAUAGGGAUAGUUGGGGGCAUUAGUAUUCAAUUGUCAGAGGUGAAAUUCUUGGAUUUAUUGAAGACUAACUACUGCGAAAGCAUUUGCCAAGGAUGUUUUCAUUAAUCAAGAACGAAAGUUAGGGGAUCGAAGACGAUCAGAUACCGUCGUAGUCUUAACCAUAAACUAUGCCGACUAGGGAUCGGAUGAUGUUAAUUUUUAAUGACUCAUUCGGCGCCUUAAC